rnacentral:rRNA from 1 species
AUACGGAGGAUCCGAGCGUUAUCCGGAUUUAUUGGGUUUAAAGGGUGCGCAGGCGGCCAUUUAAGUCAGCGGUUAAAUCUUGGGGCUCAACCCCAUUCUGCCGUUGAUACUGGGUGGCUUGAUUGCGGUCGAGGUUGGCGGAAUUCGUUGUGUAGCGGUGAAAUGCAUAGAUAUGACGAAGAACACCGAUUGCGUAGGCAGCUGGCCAGACCGCAAAUGACGCUCAUGCACGAACGUGCGGAGAUCGAACAGGAUUAGAUGCCCUGGUAGACCGCAGAGUAAACGAUGAAUGCUUGUUUUCGGCGAUAUAAUGUCGGAGGCAAAGCGAAAGCGAUAAGUAUUCCCCCUGGGGAGUACGCCGGCAACGGUGAAACUCAAAGGAAUUGACGGGG